AACACCCUAAAUAUAUAGAAAAAACAAAAAAAACAAAAAAAAAUUAAAACAGGCAGAAAAAAAACUAAAGAAAACUAAAAAAAAGAGAAAGGAUAGUAUAAACAAAAUAAAAAACAGUAGGAAAAGUAUUUCAGAAAAGAACAACCUAUAUAUAUAUAUAAAUAACAAAAAAACAAAAAAAAACUUAAAAAAACACUUACAAACAGGCAGAAUAAAACUAAAGAAAACUAAAAAGAGGAGAAAGGAUAGUGUAAACAAAAUAAAAAAACAGAAGGAAAAGAAUUUCUGAAAAAAAACACCCUAAUUAUAUAUAACAGAAAAAAACUAAAAAAACUAAUAAAAAAACUUAAAACAGGCAGAAAAAAAACUAGAGAAAACUAAAAAAAGAGAAAGGAUAGUAUAAACAAAAUUGAAAAAACAGAAAGAAAAGUAUAUCAGAAAAAACACCCCAAAUAUAUAGAAAAAACAAAAAAAAACAACAAAAAAACUUAAAACAGGCAGAAAAAAACUAAAGAAAACUAAAAAAGAGAAAGGAUAGUAUAAACAAAAUAAAAAAACAGAGGGAAAAGUAUUUCAGAAAAAAAGACCCUAAAUAUAUAGAAAAAACAAAAACAAAAAAAAAUUAAAACAGGUAGAAAAAAACUAAAGAAAACUAAAAAAGAGAAAGGAUAGUAUAAACAAAAUAAAAAAAACAGAAGGAAAAGUAUUUUAGAAAGGGAAACCCUUUAUAUUUAUAAAUAACAAAAAAACUAAAAAAAAACUUUAAACAUGCAGAAAAAAACUAAAGAAAACAAAGAAAAAGAAUAGUAUUUGUAAAAAAAAAAAAAAAAAGUAAAAUCACAGUAUUUCUGAAAAAAAAAACUUAAAACAGGCAGAAAAAUAAAAAAGAACUAUAGGAAACUAAAGAAAAGAAAAGUAUUUCUGAAAAAAAGGAACAAAAACCCACCCUAAACCGGGUGUUUUGGACAGAAAAAAAAACCCUUGCGGUUUUUCCCUCCCAUGUGAGGGUUUUUUCCCCUCCUUGAGCUACCACCUUACCGUGGUGGAGGGGUUUGUGUGUCCCAAUGAUCCCAGGAGCUAUGUUGUCAGGGCUUUAUGCCUCUGAAAGGUUACCCAAGGCAGCAGGUCCUGGGGUAGGGACCAGACUAAGAGUAGCUCAUCCAGACAGAGGUGCCAGGGAAAAAAAUAGGGAAAAAAACUGAAGAAAAAAAAAACUAAAGAAAACAAAAAAUAGAAAAAUUAAAACAGGCAGAAAAAAACUAAAGAAAACUAAUAAAAAGAAGAUUAGUAUUUCCAAAAAAACUUCAAAAAACUGAAAAAAAAACUUAGAACAGGCAGACAAAAACUAAAGAAAACUAAAAAAGAGAAAGGAUAGUAUAAACAAAAUAAAAAAAACAGAAGGAAAAGUAUUUCAGAAAAGAACACCCUUAAUAUAUAUAAAUAACAAAAAACUAAAAAAAACUUAAAACAGGCAGACAAAAACUAAAGAAAACUAAAAAAAGAAGAAAAAGAAUAGUAUUUCUAAAAAAACUUUAAAAAACUAAAAAAAAAUCUAAAAAAAAACUUAACAGGCAGAAAAAAACUAAAGUAAACUAAAAAAGGAGAAAGGAUAGUGUAAACAAAAUAAAAAAAACAGAAGGAAAAGUAUUUCAGAAAAAACACCCUAAAUAUAUAGAAAAAACAAAAAAAACUAAAAAAACAAAACAAAACUUAAAACAGGCAGAAAAAAACUAAAGAAAACUAAAAAAUUGAAAGGAUGGUAUAAACAAAAUAAAAAAACAGAAGGAAAAGUAUAUCUGAAAAACACACCCUAAAUAUAUUUAUAAAUAAAAAAAACUAAAAAAAAACUAAUAAAAAAACUUAAAACAGGCAGAAAAAAACUAGAGAAAACUAAAAAAAGAGAAAGGAUAGUAUAAACAAAAUUGAAAAAACAGAAAGAAAAGUAUAUCAGAAAAAAUACCCCAAAUAUAUAGAAAAAAAAAAAAAAAAAACUUAAAACAGGCAGAAAAAAACUAAAGAAAACUAAAAAAUAGAAAGGAUAGUAUAAACAAAAUAAAAAAACAGAGGGAAAAGUAUUUCAGAAAAAAAGACCCUAAAUAUAUAGAAAAAACAAAAAAAACUAAAAAAACAAAACAAAACUUAAAACAGGCAGAAAAAAACUAAAGAAAACUAAAAAAUAGAAAGGAUGGUAUAAACAAAAUAAAAAAACAGAAGGAAAAGUAUAUCGGAAAAACACACCCUAAAUAUAUUUAUAAAUAAAAAAAACUAAAAAAAAACUAAAAAAAAAACUUUAAACAGGCAGAAAAAAACUAAAGAAAACUAAAAAUAGUAUAAACAAAAUUAAAAAACAGAAGGAAAAGUAUUUCUGAAAAAACACCCUAAAUAUAUUACAAAAAGAACUAAAAAAAACUUUAAAAAAAACUUAAAACAGGCAGAAAAAUCUAAAGUAAACAAAAAAAGGAGAAAGGAUAUUAUAAACAAAAUAAAAAAAAAGAAGGAAAAGUAUUUCUGAUAAAACACCCUUAAUAUAUUACAAAAAGAACUAAAAAACUAAAAGAAAAACUUAAAACAGGCAGACAAAACACUAAAGAAAAUUAAAAAAAGAGAAAGGAUAGUAUAAACAAAAUAAAAAAACAGAAGGAAAAGUAUUUCAGAAAAAAACACCCUAAAUAUAUAGAAAAAACUAAAAAAAAAAAUUAAAACAUGAAGAAAAAAAUGAAGAAAACUACAAAAGAGAAAGGAUAGUUAAAACAAAAUAAAAAAAAACAGAAAGAAAAGUAUAUCAGAAAAAAACACCCUAAAUAUAUAGAAAAAAAGAAAAAAAAAACAAAAAAAAAUUAAAACAGGCAGAAAAAAAACUAAAGAAAACUAAAAAAAGAGAAAGGAUAGUAUAAACAAAAUAAAAAACAUAAGGAAAAGUAUUUCAGAAAAGAACACCCUUAAUAUAUAUAAAUAACAAAAAACUAAAAAAAACUUAAAACAGGCAGAAAAAAACUAAAGAAAACUAAAAAAAGAAGAAAAAGAAUAGUAUUUCUAAAAAAAACUUUAAAAAACUAAAAAAAAUCUAAAAAAAAACUUAACAGGCAGAAAAAAACUAAAGUAAACUAAAAAAGGAGAAAGGAUAGUGUAAACAAAAUAAAAAAAAACAGAAGGAAAAGUAUUUCAGAAAAAACACCCUAAAUAUAUAGAAAAAACAAAAAAAAACUAAAAAAACAAAACAAAACUUAAAACAGGCAGAAAAAAACUAAAGAAAACUAAAAAAUAGAAAGGAUGGUAUAAACAAAAUAAAAAAACAGAAGGAAAAGUAUAUCUGAAAAAAACACCCUAAAUAUAUUUAUAAAUAAAAAAAAACUAAAAAAAAACAAAAAAAAAACUUUAAACAGGCAGAAAAAAACUAAAGAAAACUAAAAAUAGUAUAAACAAAAUUAAAAAACAGAAGGAAAAGUAUUUCUGAAAAAACACCCUAAAUAUAUUACAAAAAGAACUAAAAAAAACUUUUAAAAAACUUAAAACAGGCAGAAAAAUCUAAAGUAAACUAAAAAAGGAGAAAGGAUAUUAUAAACAAAAUAAAAAAAAGAAGGAAAAGUAUUUCUGAUAAAACACCCUUAAUAUAUUACAAAAAUAACUAAAAAAACUAAAAGAAAAACUUAAAACAGGCAGACAAAAAACUAAAGAAAAUUAAAAAAAGAGAAAGGAAAGUAUAAACAAAAUAAAAAAAACAGAAGGAAAAGUAUUUCAGAAAAAAACACCCUAAAUAUAUAGAAAAAACUAAAAAAAAAAUUAAAACAUGAAGAAAAAAAUGAAGAAAACUACAAAAGAGAAAGGAUAGUUAAAACAAAAUAAAAAAAAACAGAAAGAAAAGUAUAUCAGAAAAAAACACCCUAAAUAUAUAGAAAAAACAAAAAAAAAACAAAAAAAAAUUAAAACAGGCAGAAAAAAAACUAAAGAAAACUAAAAAAAAGAGAAAGGAUAGUAUAAACAAAAUAAAAAACAGAAGGAAAAGUAUUUCAGAAAAGAACAACCUAUAUAUAUAUAUAUAUAAAUAACAAAAAAAAACUUAAAAAAAACUUAAAAACAGGCAGAAUAAAACUAAAGAAAACUAAAAAAGAAGAAAAAGAAUAGUAUUUCUAAAAAAACGUUAAAAAAAUAAAAAAAACUUAAAACAGGCAGAAAAAACUAAAGUAAACUAAAAAAAGGAGAAAGGAUAGUGUAAACAAAAUUAAAAAAACAGAAGGAAAAGUAUUUCUGAAAAAAAACACCCUAAAUAUAUAUAACAAAAAGAACUAAAAAAACUAAAAGAAAGGAUAGGAUAAAGGAUAGAAAGGAUGGUAUAAACAAAAUAAAAAAAAAAAACAGAAGGAAAAGUAUUUCAGAAAAGAAAAACCUAUAUAUAUAUAUAAAUAACAAAAAAACUGAAAAAAAAACUAAAAAAAACCCUUAAAAACAGGCAGAAUAAAACUAAAGAAAACUAAAAAAAGAAGAAAAAGAAUAGUAUUUCUAAAAAAAACUUUAAAAAACUAAAAAAAAACUUAAAACAGGCAGAAAAAACUAAAGUAAACUAAAAAGAGGAGAAAGGAUAGUGUAAACAAAAUAAAAAAACAGAAGGAAAAGAAUUUCUGAAAAAAAAACACCCUAAUUAUAUAUAACAGAAAAAAACUAAAAAAACUAAUAAAAAAACUUAAAACAGGCAGAAAAAAAACUAGAGAAAACUAAAAAAAGAGAAAGGAUAGUAUAAACAAAAUUGAAAAAACAGAAAGAAAAGUAUAUCAGAAAAAACACCCGAAAUAUAUAGAAAAAACAAAAAAACAAAAAAACAAAAACUUAAAACAGGCAGAAAAAAACUAAAGAAAUAAAGGAUAGAAAGGAUGGUAUAAACAAAAUAAAAAAAAAACAGAAGGAAAAGUAUUUCAGAAAAGAACAACCUAUAUAUAUAUAUAAAUAACAAAAAAACUGAAAAAAACCUAAAAAAAAACCUUAACAACAGGCAGAAUAAAACUAAAGAAAACUAAAAAAAGAAAAAAAAGAAUAGUAUUUCUAAAAAAAACUUUUAAAAACUAAAAAAAAAACUUAAAACAGGCAGAAAAAAACUAAAGUAAACUAAAAAGAGGAGAAAGGAUAGUGUAAACAAAAUAAAAAAACAGAAGGAAAAGAAUUUCUGAAAAAAAACCACCCUAAUUAUAUAUAACAGAAAAAAACUAAAAAAACUAAUAAAAAAACUUAAAACAGGCAGAAAAAAACUAGAGAAAACUAAAAAAAGAGAAAGGAUAGUAUAAACAAAAUUGAAAAAACAGAAAGAAAAGUAUAUCAGAAAAAAUACCCCAAAUAUAUAGAAAAAAAAAAAAAAAAAAACUUAAAACAGGCAGAAAAAAACUAAAGAAAACUAAAAAAUAGACAGGAUAGUAUAAACAAAAUAAAAAAACAGAGGGAAAAGUAUUUCAGAAAAAAAGACCCUAAAUAUAUAGAAAAAACAAAAAAGACAAACAAAAAAAACUUAAAACAGGUAGAAAAAAACUAAAGAAAACUAAAAAAGAGAAAGGAUAGUAUAAACAAAAUAAAAAAAACAGAAGGAAAAGUAUUUUAGAAAGGAAAACCCUUUAUAUUUAUAAAUAACAAAAAAAACAAAAAAAAACUUUAAACAUGCAGAAAAAAACUAAAGAAAACAAAGAAAAAGAAUAGUAUUUGUAAAAAAAAAAAAGUAAAAAAAAAAGUAAAAUCACAGUAUUUCUGAAAAAAAAAACUUAAAACAGGCAGAAAAAUAAAAAAGAACUAUAGGAAACUAAAGAAAUGAAAAGUAUUUCUGAAAAAAAAGAACAAAAACCCACCCUAAACCGGUUGUUUUGGACAGAAAAAAAAACCCUCGGGUUUUUCCCUCCCAUGUGAGGGUUUUUUCCCCUCCUUGAGCUACCACCUUACCGUGGUGGAGGGGUUUGUGUGUCCCAAUGAUCCCAGGAGCUAUGUUGUCAGGGCUUUAUGCCUCUGAAAGGUUACCCAAGGCAAACAGGUCCUGGGGGAGGGACCAGACUAAGAGUAGCUCAUCCAGACAGAGGUGCCAGGCAAAAAAAUAGGAAAAAAAAACUGAAGAAAAAAAACUAAAGAAAACAAAAAACAGAAAAAUUAAAACAGGCAGAAAAAAACUAAAGAAAAAUAAUAAAAAGAAGAUUAUUAUUUCUAAAAAAAACUUCAAAAAACUAAAAAAAAACUUAGAACAGGCAGACAAAAACUAAAAAAAACAGAAGGAACAGUAUUUCUGAAAAAACACCCUAAAUAUAUUACAAAAAGAACUAAAAAAAACUUUAAAAAAACUUAAAACAGGCAGAAAAAUCUAAAGUAAACUAAAAAAGGAGAAAGGAUAUUAUAAACAAAAUAAAAAAAAGAAGGAAAAGUAUUUCUGAUAAAACACCCUUAAUAUAUUACAAAAAUAACUAAAAAAACUAAAAGAAAAACUUAAAACAGGCAGACAAAAAACUAAAGAAAAUUAAAAAAAGAGAAAGGAUAGUAUAAACAAAAUAAAAAAAACAGAAGGAAAAGUAUUUCAGAAAAAAACACCCUAAAUAUAUAGAAAAAACUAAAAAAAAAAUUAAAACAUGAAGAAAAAAAUGAAGAAAACUACAAAAGAGAAAGGAUAGUUAAAACAAAAUAAAAAAAAACAGAAAGAAAAGUAUAUCAGAAAAAAGCACCCUAAAUAUAUAGAAAAAACAAAAAAAAAAAAAAAAAAAUUAAAACAGGCAGAAAAAAAACUAAAGAAAACUAAAAAAAAGAGAAAGGCUAGUAUAAACAAAAUAAAAAACAGAAGGAAAAGUAUUUCAGAAAAGAACAACAUAUAUAUAUAUAAAUAACAAAAAAACAAAAAAAACUUAAAAAAACACUUACAAACAGGCAGAAUAAAACUAAAGUAAACUAAAAAAGAAGAAAAAGAAUAGUAUUUCUAAAAAAACGUUAAAAAAA
rnacentral:lncRNA from 1 species